rnacentral:misc_RNA from 1 species
ACAGUAGCAGUUCGGUUCGACCCAACCAAGGAUUCAGAGACUAUAAUAGUCUCAAAUCUCAAUCCUUUUGGCCUAACCGAUGACAAUUUAGUAAGCGACGUAAACAAUAACAUUCCUGAACCUUCACACGUGAUGACUUUUGAGGAUAUUAAUGGAUGAGUGGACACCUUGACACCAUGGAUGAAAUAGUUCAGCAAAUCACAGGUCACUUAUUUGUCACAGCAGUGGACCAGAAGAUUGUUCGUGGUAUUAACAAGGAAAUUGAGGAGUUGUUGCCAGAUGUUAAGAAGCUACUACAAGCUGACAUUGUCCAGAAGGUCAAGAAGCUCCUGGCAGAGGAUCCCCUUGUAGCUCUAACAACUGUGAACCUGGUGUGUGAUGGCUGCUCAGCACUACGUGAGAGCUUGGGGGAGUGUUUGGAAGAGAUUCUUGUUGUGUGUUCAACAAGACUACAGACCCACCUCAUUGAUCAACAUAGGAAACACUCUCAGUUCCAUGUUGCUGUUAAAGCUUUGUACAGCAUUCUGCAGUAUGUUAUUCCUCAAGUGUCUCUGCAGACUGAAGUAACACCGCUGUUAGAAAGAAUUUAUUUAUCAUUAUUUGUUGCCUUGACAAGUGAAAAAUUACCAUCUGAUUGUGCUUUGAUAACUGCAACAUCCCUCUGUCUCACUGUUUCUUGUCUAAAAACAGAGAAUUUUGAAGUUGAAUUUCUGCAUAUGUUAUCAACCCUCCAUGAAUUGCAGUUGAAUGAUACUGGAAAACAUUCUGAAUGUUCAGUCGAAGGGGUAUUAGAGUCUUUUAAAAAAGGUGAUAAACCCUUGAGAGAGAGGCUUGGAGAUAUUAAACCAGCAUACCCAGUUGCAUUGCUGCUUCAUGGUCUUUUCAAUUCAGAUGUGCAAUGGAUAUAUAAUUAUGGAAACUGGAGUGAUAUAUUCUUGAAAUUACAAUCAGCACCAGGGAAAGAGCAUGGUAAUGACUCUUAUUUGGAUUACAACCCAAGCUCAAGGCAGUGUGAUAAACAACCUCACCCACAAGACAGCAAUGUUGGUGAAGUUGGAGGCAUUUUCUUAUAUGAGAUUUACAUAGUCAUCAGAAAGCUGUGUAAAGGUGCUACCAGUUAUACAUUUCAGGCUUUUCAGGUGCUGCGUUUGUGGCUGACUUGCGUGAGGGAGUUGGGCAACAGGAUGCGGAAAGACUAUGAUGAAGUGCUAACACAACAUUUCCAAGAGUGUUCAGUGUCUGAAGGGUGUAAUGAUUAUAAUCUGUAUCACUAUAAAAAAAAUCUACCAUCUGGAAAAUGGAUAUUUACUACUCUGUCCAAUCAGGAUACUGUGUUUCAUCUGUUGAAUUCUAAUUGGGAGAAUCCCUCAAAGGGAGUUAGUGAUGUUGUAUAUGUCUGCAUGGUUGAGCUGCUAGAACUACAUGAAGAUGAUGCUCCAGACCAGGCAAAGAGCGUGGCUAGUUCUAUGGUCAUGUCACUUUCAUCUUCUGAUGCCUGGACGUCAAAGAGUACUUACCCACCUCUUGCUCUUGCAGUAUCCUAUAUUGGGGCUCAAAAAGCAGUUAUGCUUUGCCCAAGAUUACCAACUGGAUUAAUGACAUCUUUAAGUGUAAACCACCUGGCUCCUGCUGGUACAAAGGUGUACAAGAUCAUGGUAGAGGGGCUGACUUCAUGCCUGUGGUCUGAAUAUUUCUUCACCAUUGUGUGUGAAGCCCUGCACAGUGAUGACAGGCUGACCCAGCAGAAUGUGAGGUCAUUAUGGUUACCACCAACACUGCGACAGUAUCCAAGGAUAUAUCUUGAGCUCCUCAGUGGCUGUGAAGACACUACUGGUGGAUGGGUGGCACGAAUGGCAAUUUUAAGGGUUGCUCGCUCCCUUGGUUCUUUAAGUUUAAAGGAACAUGAUACAGCUCUUGAUCAUGAAGAAUUAAGUAAUUUGCAUGUGCAGAAAUCAUUUAGUUCAUUAAAUGCUUACAGUGAAAUCAAGGGAAGUAGUUCUUCUGUGAGUGUUGAAAAUGAAUAUUAUAUAAAGAAACAAGUGAUUAAUCUUUGUGUACUAUCAUACCUCAAGCCAGCGCUUAGCCACUUGGAUGAGACAGUACGAGGAGAAGCUCUGUCUUUUCUCUGCCAUACCCGGAAGGCCUCAGAACCUGUCUCACUUGAAGAAUCAUCUUACCUAAAAUGGUUUUUCAAGUAUAACAUGAACAUUGAUUCAGCACCUUUCAGACAAGGUAUGAUAAAAUGCUACAAGGCUCUAGUGGCCAGGUUACGUGAUGCCUCUGCUACUGAACUAAAAAAGUUGUCUUUCAGAGUUUUAAAUUCAAAAGAUUAUUCUUCAGAAUUUGUUAGAAAUCUUAAAGCCAAUCCUGUUCUUCAGACCAACACUGAACUUCUGGUAUGGUUUAUAAAGUUGUUUCACAGUAACUUAGCACCAGAUGGUAACUACCAGCGAAGGAUACUCUCCCUUCUGCUCUACAAGGAAACCCUUUUAGCAUUUUAUGAAAAGAAAACUUUUAUGACAUAUUCAGUACCUCCAAGGUACAUGACAGUGUGUGCAUAUAUUAAUCUCACCAAUAGUAAAGAAGUCUGUGAUGAGGAAAGUCAACCUAUCACAGACCUGUCCUUACCUUGGACUCUGGAAAUGCUACUCUGUUCCUGUUUGGAUGAAAUGAAUAACAUUAGAGAUGAAGCAGAGAACAUUUUAAAGAUUAUGGAGUCAUCUAAGAAUGCUGUAUGCUACUACAAGGCAGAAGAGUGGCUGCAGCGAGGUCUGACACUUUGUAACUCCCCUAAGGCUAGUGAUGCUGAGAGUGGAGCAACCUUGGUGAAGGUGGUAUCAUCAUCUUACUACAAUGGUGGUCAUGACAUCUCUACUCUUCUAAAGAAUAUGGAAAGGAGCAGUGAGUCACACAGCUUGAUCAGUUUCUUAUUUGACUGUGUGGAGGGUCAGUUUAAGAUGGCACAGAAUAAUCUUCUAGAAGCUGCCAGAAGAACCCCUAUUCAUGGUUCCUUGUUGGCUUUAGGUCGAUGUGUGUUCGAAGAAGCACAUGUUGCACCCUUGUUGCCUGAAGAUGUGCAGGACUUUGUUCACAAGCUAGCAAGUCUGAUGGUGAAGAUGGUAGAAUUUAUGUUAUCCAAACUGGCCUGUGCCUCACAAAAUGGCUCAGCUGUUGCUCCAUCAUUUGCUGAGAUGGGAGAUUCUGUGGAGCUCAUCAUCAAAGAGUGUGGGGGAAGCACUGCACCUGCUGAAUUUUACCACAGUGAAUGUGGAGAAGACAUAGAAGAGAGAGAUGAAGAAGCUGAUGAUGAGGAUAAUGCCAUCUCUGGGGACCACCAGCUAGUUUUAGCGUGUUGCUGGCAAACUAUGAAGACCUGCUGUAUGGUGUCCAGCAUGUGUUUGUCACGCUGGUUAGAUUGUCUCAGUGAGACUGUAAUUGAGAAACUUUUGCGUUGUGUUGUUGUUCGUGUAUUAACAGGCUACGUCACAAAGGAGCAAUGGAGGCUGCUCGAAGUGCAUACAACCAACUGUGUUAUGUUCUACUUACUACCAACUCUAAUAUUGGCCAGCUUGUAUAUAGACAGGUUGAAGAAAUCUUGGAUCAGCUGGAGGUUGGUGCUCAGACCUCAGUAACUCGUGAAGCAGCAGGGAUGGCUAUGAUGAUACAGGUUGCUUGUGGUGCUGCACCACCAACUAAUGCUUCCCUCAUCAAUAACACAAUCACCAAACUUUUAAAAAUCACUCAGACAGAGUAUGCAGAACAGAGUACCUUGGACUCGCCUCCAGUCUUGGCACUCCAUGUUCUGCACUCUGUGGUCAUCCAUGCUCCAUUGGCCCAUCAUAUGAUUCACCAUAUGCCAGCCAUUACUGCCACGUGUCUAGAAGCC